CCCUUAGAUGUUCUGGGCCGCACGCGCGCUACAAUGAUGAAUUCAACGAGUUUAUAACCUUGGUUGAAAAGCCUGGGUAAUCUUUUGAACUUUCGUCGUGAUGGGGCUAGACCCUUGCAAUUAUUGGUCUCCAACGAGGAAUUCCUAGUAAACGCAAGUCAUCAGCUUGCAUUGAUUACGUCCCUGCCCUUUGUACACACCGCCCGUCGCACCUACCGAUUGAAUGGUCCGGUGAAGCCUCCGGAUUGGCGCGCACCUCGGUGCCGCCGAGAAGUUGGCUAAACCUUACCAUUUAGAGGAAGGUGAAGUCGUAACAA
rnacentral:rRNA from 1 species